CCCAGUAGAGCGUGAGUGGUGCAGCGCAAGCACCCAUCCCUCAAGGACCUGUGCCACCACCUAUGACGGUAGAUCUGCAAUAGUUUGAGAACCUGGUCCGACAGAUCCAGAUAUUGACCAACACAGUUCAGUACUUGCAGCAAACCAUGGAGCAACAACAACCUCUGCAACCUGCUCCUCAAACUGUACCCUCCCGGCUCCCAGCACAGCCACUAGAAUCACUCCUUGAUCCUGGAGAACCCUCCUCAAGGUGCGCACUGGUCUAUCCCGAUCGAUCGAUGAUCACCAUCGCAUCGAGGAUCCAAACACAAAGAAUGAUGCUAGCAAUCUCCGACCUCGUCCGAUGGAUAUUCGACCCCAAACUACUCUUCGCACCCUAAAAAAUC
rnacentral:lncRNA from 1 species